GCAGGCCCGGAUGGGCUCCAUCCGAGGGUGCUGAAGGCACUGGCCGAUGUCAUUGCAGAGCCACUGGCAGGAAUAUUCGAACGCUUGUGGCGCACGGGCCAAAUCCCAGAAGACUGGAAAAGGGCUAAUGUGGUCCCCAUUUUCAAAAAAGGGAGGAAGGAGGACCCGGGCAAUUAUAGGCCGGUUACGAAAUGCCUGGACACAGGAGGAGGGGUGGAUGUCGUAUACUUAGACUUCAGGAAGGCCUUCGAUACGGUAUCCCACCCCAUACUGGUGAACAAGUUAAGAGGCUGUGAUGUGGAUGACUGCACGGUCCGGAUGAACUCUAAAAUCAGAAUAUGUUAGCUAUCUCAGCUGGGAGCCGUUCCUGUUGGAGCCUGUUAACCAGAGCAGGUCCCUUGUCGUUCUACAGACUUUUCUUCAUGUCUCACUUUCCAGAAAUUUUGAAGCACCAUAAAGACAUCCAUGAUGAUUAUAUGACACAAGCUUUGUCAAAACUGAGGAUUUGACCUAUCAGCUAUCAGUAAGAUAUUCUGAUUUAGGAAUAUGAGGCCACUACAAGACAUGACUUGUACCAGGGGCGUUUUCUGCACUUUCACAGAGGGGUAAACUGAACAAAUGCAAAUCACUUUACAGUUUAUAGUAUUUUUGCCUGUCGAACCUUGUGAUUUGCACUCCGGCUGUGCCAUAUACUAGUCAAUGCUAGCUGAAAUCUCCAUUUAGACAAGGCCUUAGGAUUUGUCUGUAUUUGAGAUUUAUUCUGUUUUGACUUGUAUUGUUUUGUAUUAAAAUCUCUCGCACAC